GAAAAAAAAAAACAAUUUCUGGAACUCAUUACUCUUUUUGUCAUUAGCGACUAAGAAAAUAAUCGACGACACUUACACUGCGUCCUAUCAAGGUUGGUGGAGAAGCCAUUGGACUAAAGAAAACCAAGAGUCCACUUCAUUACACCUCUCCAGUCAGUGAUACCUUUGGAAAUUCUCAACUUUUCACCACAAAACGUUCCAUCAAGAAGCAGUUGGCCAAAAUAAUAAUGUCAGAAGUAAGACAAAGCUUUGAAGAAAGAACAUCUGUCAUAAAGUGUUACUGGAGGCACGAAAAUGUCAAAGAAGUGCAAAGACAAUUCAGAAGACACUUUGACAGGGAUCCACCAAGCGUGGCUUCCUUCAGUUUGAGUGAGGCACGCCUCUUCCUGCGGCACUUACAGAGAGCCUGACUGCUGAACGAGUGGCCAGUGGCGGUGCGUGUGUGUGUUUGUGCAGGAGGAGUACUCACCUGGAGACGCAACACUCCCUUCCUGA